rnacentral:misc_RNA from 1 species
UUAAGUUCAGCGGGUAUCCCUACCUGAUCCGAGGUCAAGAGUGUAAAAUGUACUUUUUGGACGUCGUCGUUAUGAGUGCAAAGCGCGAGAUGUACUGCGCUCCGAAAUCAAUACGCCGGCUGCCAAUUGUUUUAAGGCGAGUCUACACGCAAAGGCGAGACAAACACCCAACACCAAGCAGAGCUUGAUGGUUGAAAUGA